AGCAGCCGCGGUAAUUCCAGCUUCAAUAGCGUAUAUUAAAGUUGUUGCAGUUAAAAAGCUCGUAGUUGAAUUUCGGGGUUAGUAGAUUGGUCGUGCCAUCGGUAUGCACUGGUCUUACUGAUUCCUCCUUCCUGAUGAACCGUAAUGCCAUUAAUUUGGUGUUGCGGGGAAACUGGACUGUUACUUUGAAAAAAUUAGAGUGUUUAAAGCAAGCUAACGCUUGAAUACAUUAGCAUGGAAUAAUGAAAUAGGACGUUCGAUCCUAUUUUGUUGGUUUCUAGGAUUGACGUAAUGAUUAAUAGGGAUAGUUGGGGGCAUUAGUAUUCAAUUGUCAGAGGUGAAAUUCUUGGAUUUAUUGAAGACUAACUACUGCGAAAGCAUUUGCCAAGGAUGUUUUCAUUAAUCAAGAACGAAAGUUAGGGGAUCGAAGACGAUCAGAUACCGUCGUAGUCUUAACCAUAAACUAUGCCGACUAGGGAUCGGAUGAUGUUAAUUUUAUAAUGGCUCAUUCGGCGCCUUA
rnacentral:rRNA from 1 species